UACGUAGGGUCCGAGCGUUGUCCGGAAUUAUUGGGCGUAAAGGGCUCGUAGGCGGUUUGUCGCGUCGGGAGUGAAAACACGGGGCUUAACCCCGUGCCUGCUUCCGAUACGGGCAGACUAGAGGUAUGCAGGGGAGAACGGAAUUCCUGGUGUAGCGGUGAAAUGCGCAGAGAUCGGGAGGAACACCCGUAGCGAAGGCGGUUCUCUGGGCCGGUACUGACGCUGAGGAGCGAAAGCGUGGGGAGCAAACAGG
rnacentral:rRNA from 1 species